CUGUCAUCGUUUUUUCCCGAUUCACUUUACACUUUCCGUGCUCAGAUGCGCUUUCCGUGGUCAGAUGCGCUUUCCGUGCUCAGAUGCGCUUUCCGUGCGCGGCCGUGUAGCGGUGGAGUAAUUGCGCGAUGGGUGUUGUGGAUCGUACGUACUGCUGCUGCCGCUGGAAUUGUCGUAAGGAUGGCUGCUACCGGUGGCAUUCGGCCGUCAUAGCAGCUGCUCAUAGACACCGCUGUGCUGCUGCAGGAUGCCCUGGUCCUGCCCAUCCCAACAUCGUCCUCACCGCAAUCGGUCACCCAGAUUGAGGCUCCAGCGGUGGAAGUAGUAGGAGCACAUUCUCCAAGCCGAUUGGGAUUUUCCAAGCCUGGUUCUCGGUGUACCAUCCUCCUGAUGUUCCGCUGGCCGAUCCUCUGUUGAAACCGUCGCCGUGAACGACCGCUCUCCCCCGCGUGCAGCAAUCUCCAGGCUCCAGGUCAAACGUGAAGCUGAAACGUCUCCUUGCGUUUCACGUUGGCCGUCCACUGCAACUCAAGUGGGGGCCCGGCUGGCCCUUCAAUCUGAUACUCGCUGCUAGGGUAACUUAAGCGUCAAUGAUGAUCCUUCAUCCAGAAAUUGCGUGCGUGUCUCGCACUCGCUUGUUCAACGUUUGCACAACCCGGGACACGACACAGGAGAAUCUCGAUCGACAAGGCUUUGUUACGUGGUUUGCGGCACAGCUUCAUCUGCGUUACAGUCUCAAUACGUUCCAUGGGAGACAUGCGCUUCGCAUCAUUCUCUUAGCGUAUGAUCCGUGUUCGAUCCAACGAAGGUAGGGAGUUUCAAUUUGCGAUGGCGAGAAACCCGAUCGCGCACGAAUCGCGCAGCUCAUUCGCCUCCUCGAACACGAACCAUCUGAAUUUAGCAUCAUCUAUAUCGGUUCUGUUUUGCAUUUCCCAAUCAACUCUGGGGCUGUUUUGGACCCAUAACCUUUCUCCAUUUCGUGAUUGUUCUGCAGUUUGUGGCAACCGUUCUUCCUUCCGUCAGCACCGUGAAUGCCUGUUUGGCACUUUCAAUGAAGGCUUCUGUAAUCCAAUCGGUGUGUGAUGAUAUGUGAGAAAGAAAGCUGCCCGCUUUUGCAGAACAGUGAUGGAAUAGGACUGGACUAUAAAGGCCCCGAUAGAAUGCCUCAGAGCAGUACGGUAAAGAGGAGCCAGAGACUUUCGGAGACAUUAUUUCUAUUUGAUAAAAUAUUUUUGGAACUACCCAAGCUUUAAGGUUGUUUGGUGUGAACAAUUUUACAUUUCCCUGAUAUUUCGUUUUAGUUGUCCAUUUUUGUAGGCCAUUGAUUCCGGAAUGAAGUUCUUUCCUCUACAUUCGGUUGCAGAUUUGGACAUCGCUACUAAACCGGGGUAAGAAUGCUUCAGACAAAUGGCGAGUAGCAGCAAAUGAAUUAUCUCGAUUAUCUAAGCGUCGAAGGAGAAACGUUCUCUUUCGCUACACGCAUCCAAAUCUCGAUGUAAAUUGAAGUGUUCGAUGGCUUUUUCCAUCACGAAUCACAAAAAUUCGGUUAAUUUUCCGGAGGCCGUUUUCAAAUGACAGCCCGUGGCGCGUUCUGCAGAAGGACUUUGACUCCGAUUUUGAGUAACGAGUGUUGAUCGUACCUACGCAAAUGGUCGUACCAAAUUUGGUCUACUAGCCGCGCCCUAUCCAACGAGGGAUAACAAUGGAUCCGGGAAGGGGGGAAAAACAUUCCCACACCUGUGUGUAAAACGGUGAAAAUUUCACACAAACUCACGUUUUUUGACUGGAAGAGUCGAGCUGAGUGGUUCCUAGGAGGACACGCUUGUGAGACAAAAGUUGCACAACUUGUACCGACGCGUCUGUCGCUGCCUGAUAUAGCUUUGUAUUAGCUUCCGUUCGAAAGCAAUUUGACGGUUUUCCUUCCUGCAGUAUGGAACAGGGAGGGCGGGAGGAGGUGCAAUACCCCACCGUCGGAUAGUACUUGGCGAGAGCUUUCCAUCGAUGCCCCGCACGCACGCCCUUAUAUAAGCUCGCGUUCGAAAGCUAUGCUCAUGUAAAGGUGGCCUAUCAAAAUUUGUGUUCGUGGAUCGGCGUCGGCAGUGGAAAACAUCCCCACUAUGUACGUUUGAAGUUGAUGCUAUCCGGCGAGAAAGAGUGGAAAAUUGCAAUCAUUGCAAACUCGAAAAUUAACUCGUUUUAUAUAGGCAUUUGUACAUUUCAAUUUAUUCCAAUGCUAUACGUGUAUUUUUACAUGGCCUCAAUCUUACACUAAAAUACAAUAAAUACAUAUUUAUUUCCCUUCAACCCCCAUAGCAUCAAAUGUACGUGUAGCUUCGUUGAGCAAACGCUUGGUGUCCCACUGACCGUCCUCUUUGGUUAGGCCGCUGGUGAGUCUGACAACACCAGAGGCCAACAUCCAGUGGCGCCACGAGGAGGCAGAGGAUCGGAUUUGGCCACCGUCCCAGCAUCGGGCUGUUCCUUCACGGCGCCUUAUACUGGGGUGACUUACACGUCACUUUACGAAAGCUGGAACGAAGAGAGAGAGAGAGAGA